rnacentral:rRNA from 1 species
GAUGAACGCUAGCGACAGGCUUAACACAUGCAAGUCGAGGGGCAGCAUAGAAGUAGCAAUACUUUGGUGGCGACCGGCGCACGGGUGAGUAACGCGUAUGCAACCUACCUAUCAGAGGGGAAUAACCCGGCGAAAGUCGGACUAAUACCGCAUAAAACAGGGGCACCGCAUGGUGAUAUUUGUUAAAGAAAUUCGCUGAUAGAUGGGCAUGCGUUCCAUUAGGUAGUUGGUGAGGUAACGGCUCACCAAGCCGACGAUGGAUAGGGGAACUGAGAGGUUGGUCCCCCACACUGGUACUGAGACACGGACCAGACUCCUACGGGAGGCAGCAGUGAGGAAUAUUGGUCAAUGGGCGAGAGCCUGAACCAGCCAAGUCGCGUGAAGGAAGAAGGAUCUAUGGUUCGUAAACUUCUUUUGCAGGGGAAUAAAGUGCAGGACGUGUCCUGUUUUGUAUGUACCCUGAGAAUAAGGAUCGGCUAACUCCGUGCCAGCAGCCGCGGUAAUACGGAGGAUCCGAGCGUUAUCCGGAUUUAUUGGGUUUAAAGGGUGCGUAGGUGGUUUGAUAAGUCAGCGGUGAAAGUUUGCAGCUUAACUGUAAAAAUGCCGUUGAAACUGUCGGACUUGAGUGUAAAUGAGGUAGGCGGAAUGCGUGGUGUAGCGGUGAAAUGCAUAGAUAUCACGCAGAACUCCGAUUGCGAAGGCAGCUUACUAAGCUACAACUGACACUGAAGCACGAAAGCGUGGGGAUCAAACAGGAUUAGAUACCCUGGUAGUCCACGCAGUAAACGAUGAUUACUAGCUGUUUGCGAUACACAGUAAGCGGCACAGCGAAAGCGUUAAGUAAUCCACCUGGG